GACGCUGGCGGCGCGCCUAACACAUGCAAGUCGAACGAGCGAGAGAGAGCUUGCUUUCUCGAGCGAGUGGCGAACGGGUGAGUAACGCGUGAGUAACCUGCCCUGGAGUGGGGGACAACAGUUGGAAACGACUGCUAAUACCGCAUAAGCCCACGGUACCGCAUGGCACUGAGGGAAAAGGAUUUAUUCGCUUUAGGAUGGACUCGCGUCCAAUUAGCUAGUUGGUGAGGUAACGGCCCACCAAGGCGACGAUCAGUAGGGGUUCUGAGAGGAAGGUCCCCCACAUUGGAACUGAGACACGGUCCAAACUCCUACGGGAGGCAGCAGUGAGGAAUAUUGGUCAAUGGACGAGAGUCUGAACCAGCCAAGUAGCGUGCAGGAUGACGGCCCUAUGGGUUGUAAACUGCUUUUAUAAGGGAAUAAAGUGAGUCUCGUGAGACUUUUUGCAUGUACCUUAUGAAUAAGGACCGGCUAAUUCCGUG
rnacentral:rRNA from 1 species